rnacentral:lncRNA from 1 species
UAUGAUCUAAAAAUAUGUUAUUUGUGUUGUCUUACUCCAGGUGUAAAAUAAACAUCAUCUGCUGAAAUCCAGAACGCUUCGUUAAAUUCUUUGGGUUUUUCUCAGGAAGAUCAGGAACGGUUGGAGAAAUUUUGAUAAGACUAUUUGAACUCCAGAAGGAC